rnacentral:rRNA from 1 species
CGGUGUUUAACUGGCGUGAUGUGGGACGUCCUACCGGUGGGCUUAGCCUCGCGAGGGGCGGCCCAACUAAUAUCCCGUCGCGGUGCUCUUUACUGAGUGUCGAGUCGGGCCGGUACGUUUACUUUGAACAAAUUAGAGUGCUUAAAGCAGGCUAUCCUCGCCUGAAUACUGCGUGCAUGGAAUAAUGGAAUAGGACCUCGGUUCUAUUUUGUUGGUUUUCGGAACCCCGAGGUAAUGAUUAAUAGGGACAGAUGGGGGCAUUCGUAUUGCGACGUUAGAGGUGAAAUUCUUGGAUCGUCGCAAGACGGACAGAAGCGAAAGCAUUUGCCAAAAAUGUUUUCAUUAAUCAAGAACGAAAGUUAGAGGUUCGAAGGCGAUCAGAUACCGCCCUAGUUCUAACCAUAAACGAUGCCAGCUAGCGAUCCGCCGAAGUUCCUCCGAUGACUCGGCGGGCAGCUUCCGGGAAACCAAAGCUUUUGGGUUCCGGGGGAAGUAUGGUUGCAAAGCUGAAACUUAAAGGAAUUGACGGAAGGGCACCACCAGGAGUGGAGCCUGCGGCUUAAUUUGACUCAACACGGGAAACCUCACCAGGCCCAGACACCGGAAGGAUUGACAGAUUGAUAGCUCUUUCUUGAUUCGGUGGGUGGUGGUGCAUGGCCGUUCUUAGUUGGUGGAGCGAUUUGUCUGGUUAAUUCCGAUAACGAACGAGACUCUAGCCUGCUAAAUAGGCGUACCUUAUGGUAUCGCGAAGGCCCCCGGCUUCGGCCGGUGGGUUUUUACUACCAACGUACAAACAAAUCUUCUUAGAGGGACGGGCGG